rnacentral:misc_RNA from 1 species
GAUGAAGAACGUAGCGAAAUGCGAUAAGUAGUGUGAAUUGCAGAAUUCAGUGAAUCAUCGAAUCUUUGAACGCACAUUGCGCCCCUUGGUAUUCCAUGGGGCAUGCCUGUUCGAGCGUCAUUUGUACCUUCAAGCUUUGCUUGGUGUUGGGUGUUUGUCUCGCCUCUGCGUGUAGACUCGCCUUAAAACAAUUGGCAGCCGGCGUAUUGAUUUCGGAGCGCAGUACAUCUCGCGCUUUGCACUCAUAACGACGACGUCCAAAAGUACAUUUUUACACUCUUGACCUCGGAUCAGGUAGGGAUACCCGCUGAACUUAAGCAUAUCAAUAAGUGGAGGA